AGGGGCGUAGCUUAAAGGUAGAGUUUCGGUCUUCAAAACCGAUUUGUAUAGGUUCAAAUCCUUUCGCCCUUA
rnacentral:tRNA from 1 species